ensembl:snRNA U6 U6 spliceosomal RNA
AUGCUCGCUUCAGCAGUACAUAUACAAAAAUUAUAACAAUACAGAGAAGAUUAGGAUGGCCCCUGCGCAAUGAUGACACCCAAAUUCAUGAAGCAUUCCAUAUUUUU